UGGGGGGAUAUUGCACAAUGGAGGGAACUCUGAUGCAGCGACGCCGCGUGAGGGAAGAAGGUCUUCGGAUUGUAAACCUCUGUCUUCGGUGACGAAAAUGACGGUAGCCGAGGAGGAAGCCACGGCUAACUACGUGCCAGCAGCCGCGGUAAUACGUAGGUGGCAAGCGUUGUCCGGAAUUACUGGGUGUAAAGGGAGCGUAGGCGGGAAGGCAAGUUGAUUGUCUAAACUAUCGGCUCAACCGAUAGUCGCGAUCAAAACUACUUUCUUGAGUGAAGUAGAGGUAAGCGGAAUUCCUAGUGUAGCGGUGAAAUGCGUAAAUAUUAGGAGGAACACCAGUGGCGAAGGCGGCUUACUGGGCUUUAACUGACGCUGAGGCUCGAAAGCGUGGGUAGCAAACAGGAUUAGAUACCCUGGUAGU
rnacentral:rRNA from 1 species